UCUCUGCGUGCCACCUAACAUAGCCUGAACUUUUGCCGACUUCGGGAUGUUUUACUGAGAACAGAGAGGAAUCUAUUUACUUCAGAGAGGAAAUACGAUGUCAUAUUUGCUUUCAGUUUGGGGGCGAGGGAACUCGUGAUAAAGCUUCUGCGUGCCACUUGACGCAUCCUGAACUUUAAAAAUACAUCUGCAGACUCUUUAUCUAUUUUACCUCAACGGAGCGCAGGUAUUGGUCCCACCUCUGCUUUUCCUGUCUUUGAAACCAACCGAUGCACCUUUCGGGAUUUUUAACUCCUAUGUUAGCUAGGGCUCCAACCAUGGUUGAAGAUAGACGGAAACCAGUGCGUCACAAAGGUGGCUAGCGAGAGUUCUUUUUUAAAAGGGUCUGACAAAGCGUCCGAGGAAUGAAGGAGGAACUGGAGAGGAUUCGCGGUUGGGCGGAGACACGUUCGCUGAAUUGCCUUGCGUAUAUUUGGUAGGGGAAACGUGUGACUGCAGAGCAAAGAAAGAUGGACAAUAGCGAGUAACUUCACAGGGAUUUCCUAAGAGCCGCAUUUUUACGUCAAUUCCUCGUUAGUAUAGUGGUAUUCUCUUGGCCAAACUCAAGCAGGAGUCAGAGGAUAAAGAAGCCCAUUGAAAAUGUCCAUACUGAUCAGCGCCAGGGCAGGCAACAAGAUGCAGAAUGGGGCCAGGGUACCUGGAUGAUACACAGCAC
rnacentral:lncRNA from 1 species